GUAGGUGGCAAGCGUUGUCCGGAAUUAUUGGGCGUAAAGCGCGCGCAGGUGGUUCUUUAAGUCUGAUGUGAAAGCCCCCGGCUCAACCGGGGAGGGUCAUUGGAAACUGGGGAACUUGAGUGCAGGAGAGGAAAGUGGAAUUCCACGUGCAGCGGUGAAAUGCGUAGAUAUGUGGAGGAACGCCAGUGGCGAAGGCGACUUUCUGGCCUGUAACUGACACUGAGGCGCGAAAGCGUGGGGAGCAAACAGGGAUUAGAUACCCUGGUAGUCCACGCCGUAAACGAUGAGUGCUAAGUGUUGGGGGGGUUUCCGCCCCCUCAGUGCUGCAGCUAACGCAUUAAGCACUCCGCCUGGGAGUACGGUCGCAAGACCG
rnacentral:rRNA from 1 species